rnacentral:rRNA from 2 species
AAGCAACGCCGCGUGAGUGAUGAAGGCUUUCGGGUCGUAAAACUCUGUUGUUAGGGAAGAACAAGUACAAGAGUAACUGCUUGUACCUUGACGGUACCUAACCAGAAAGCCACGGCUAACUACGGGCCAGCAGCCGCGGUAAUACGUAGGUGGCAAGCGUUAUCCGGAAUUAUUGGGCGUAAAGCGCGCGCAGGCGGUUUCUUAAGUCUGAUGUGAAAGCCCACGGCUCAACCGUGGAGGGUCAUUGGAAACUGGGGAACUUGAGUGCAGAAGAGAAAAGCGGAAUUCCACGUGUAGCGGUGAAAUGCGUAGAGAUGUGGAGGAACACCAGUGGCGAAGGCGGCUUUUUGGUCUGUAACUGACGCUGAGGCGCGAAAGCGUGGGGAGCAAACAGGAUUAGAUACCCUGGUAGUCCACGCCGUAAACGAUGAGUGCUAAGUGUUAGAGGGUUUCCGCCCUUUAGUGCUGCAGCUAACGCAUUAAGCACUCCGCCUGGGGAGUACGGUCGCAAGACUGAACUCAAAGGAAUUGACGGGGGCCCGCACAAGCGGUGGAGCAUGUGGUUUAAUUCCAAGCACCCCGAAGAACCUUACCAGGUCUUGACAUCCUCUGACAACUCUAAAGAUAGAGCGUUCCCCUUCGGGGGACAAAAUGACAGGUGGUGCAUG